rnacentral:rRNA from 1 species
GACGAACGCUGGCGGCGUGCUUAACACAUGCAAGUCGAACGGAAAGGCCCUGCUUUUGUUGCGUUCUCGAUUGGCGAACGGGUGAGUAACACGUGAGUAACCUGCCCUUGACUUUGGGAUAACUUCAGGAAACUGGGGCUAAUACCCGAUAGGAUCUCCUGCUGCAUGGUGGGGGUUGGAAAGUUUCGGCGGUUGGGGAUGGACUCGCGGCUUAUCAGCUUGUUGGUGGGGUAGUGGCUUACCAAGGCUUUGACGGGUAGCCGGCCUGAGCGGGUGACCGGCCACAUUGGGACUGAGAGACGGACCAGACUGCUACGGGAGGCAGCAGUGGAGAAUAUUGCACAACGGGGGGAAGCCUGAUGCAGCAACGCCGCGUGCGGGAUGACGGCCUUCGGGUUGUAAACCGCUUUCGAAUGUGACGAAGCGUGAGUGACGGUAAUGGGUAAAGAAGCACCGGCUAACUACGUG